rnacentral:tRNA from 1 species
UAAAGCUAUAGUUUAAUUUAAAACCUAUGACUUGCACUCAUGAGCCACCUCAUUGAGGUUAGCUUUAU